rnacentral:rRNA from 1 species
GAUGAACGCUAGCGGCAGGCUUAAUACAUGCAAGUCGAGGGACAGCACAGGUAGCAAUACUGGGUGGUAACCGGCAAACGGGUGCGGAACACGUACACAACCUUCCUUUAAGUGGGGGAUAGCCCAGAGAAAUUUGGAUCAAUACCCCGUAAUAUAGUUGAAUGGCAUCAUUUGAUUAUUAUAGCUACGGCGCUUAAUGAUGGGUGUGCGGCUGAUUAGAUAGUCGGCGGGGUAACGGCCCACCAAGUCUACGAUCGGUAGCUGAUGUGAGAGCAUGAUCAGCCACACGGGCACUGAUACACGGGCCCGACUCCUACGGGAGGCAGCAGUAAGGAAUAUUGGUCAAUGGACGCAAGUCUGAACCAGCCAUGCCGCGUGAAGGAUUAAGGUCCUCUGGAUUGUAAACUUCUUUUAUUUGGGACGAAAAAGGGCCUUUCUAGGUCAACUGACGGUACCAGAUGAAUAAGCACCGGCUAACUCCGUGCCAGCAGCCGCCGUAAAAC